rnacentral:rRNA from 1 species
UGGGGAAUUUUGGGCAAUGGGCGAAAGCCUGACCCAGCAACGCCGCGUGAAGGAUGAAGUAUUUCGGUAUGUAAACUUCGAAAGAAUAGGAAGAAUAAAUGACGGUACUAUUUAUAAGGUCCGGCUAACUACGUGCCAGCAGCCGCGGUAAUACGUAGGGACCAAGCGUUGUUCGGAUUUACUGGGCGUAAAGGGCGCGUAGGCGGCAAUUCAAGUCAUCUGUGAAAUCUCCGGGCUUAACUCGGAACGGUCAGAUGAUACUGCUUUGCUAGAGUGCAGAAGGGGCAAUCGGAAUUCUUGGUGUAGCGGUGAAAUGCGUAGAUAUCAAGAGGAACACCUGAGGUGAAGACGGGUUGCUGGGCUGACACUGACGCUGAGGCGCGAAAGCCAGGGGAGCAAACGGGGAUUAGAUACCCAGGUAGUCCCUGAGCGGGCUGGCAAGGCGCAU